AGGGCCCAGGGCCAAGUGGUGAGGGAAGGGAAAACCAGCCUAGGGCAGCCACGGACGGACGGACGCAAGUCCUUGCGAGGCUGACUCUGGCCACUGCGGUCUGCCCAACAAAGGGGAGAGUGUUUGCAGCCACCGCGUGACCGGAAGGGAAGGGCCGGAUGACUGCCCCAAACUGCCUUAACGGCCUGUUCCCAAGAACUGAAGGAGGAAAGAGGAGACGGAUGGCAUGUCACAGAAGACCCCAGGAGGCCCUGAGCCCUGGGCAGCUGUGGGGGGGGGCAGAGGUGGGUGGCAGGGCGGUGGCUGCCAUCGCAUGGCUUGUCACCAGGAAAGAUGGUCUGAGCCAAGCUGCUCUCGGUGAUCAGGACACCUGACCCAGGACACCACGCCCCCAGCACGCUCUUCGCGGGGGCCCAAACAGAGACGAGCCAGAUGCCCACCAACUGACGAACGAGCGGACAAGCAAAAAGUGAUGCAUUGUGCGACGGGAUGUCAUUCCCAGGCAGGAGGAAGGAAGCGGUGACUGGGCUACGACGCGGGUGAAAGCAGUGAGGGCAGCCGGUCGCGGAAGGCCACAGGCUGCAGGAUCGAUUCGGAUGAAACGUCCUCAACGGGCAAAUCCAUAGAAACAAAAGAGAUUCUCCAGGCUGGGGAGCGUGCAGAUGAUUGCUGAAGACUACAAGGAUUCUCGGGGCGCCCGGGGGGCUUGGCCCGGUUCAGCGGACUCUUGAUGUCAGCUCAUGUCAUGAUCUCACGGGAAGAACGGCGGCUCCGGUGAUUACAGGCUGCCACAAUGAGAAUGGGCUGCCUGGAGGGGUGCGAGCUCCUGACCUGAGAAGUACUGAGGACUAGGGCUUGCUUACCAGCUGUCCACCCCGCUCGCGCGAGGACUCCUAGGCCAGCAGACUGUAAUCUGGACCAGACCACAUCUCCCGGGAGCCCCUGGAGGAGGGCAGUCAGCCCCACCCAACCUACAUAAUGGGUUUGGGCUUGACUGAGAGAAAUUCACAAAAAGAAUAUGGAUGGAAAAAAUGUGGAAAUGCAAGGAGUCACCGGUCGGGAGCAGGAAUCCUAUGGAACGGAGAGCAGAAAGCCUCGGUGGUGAGGGGGCAGGUGGGAUGGAGGGCGUCAAAGGCACCUCAGAGUUUACCCUGCAGGUUGCAGAGCCCCAGGAAGGUGUGUGGCAGGAGGGUGUGGGUUAGAUGGUAGAGGCGAGGCUGGAGGUGGGGGCUACACAGGGGGCUCCUGCAGCACCCCACGAGGAGGUGUGGGGUGGCAGGAGCAGUGGGGUGGGAGCAGGAUGGGGUCAAGCUACGCUAAGAAGGAAGAGCCAGCAGGACAGGGCAACUGAUUGCAGGGCUGGGUCCAAGUGAAGGGAAGCGAGGAGGUGACUCAGGUGCACUUCAGCGGCCCCCGCCCACCCCAGCACCUGCUGCUCGGCCUGAUGGGUGCAGGCAUUUGCCGGAGCCGCCGGGCCUCCCCGGCCACCCAGUCCAUCCUGCCAGCUCUUCGCACACAGACCGGGUCCUCUAGUGUCCGUGUCUGCUUCCCAUCUCUGGGCCAACCUCCGUCUGGCAGGGUCCCAGCCCAGAGUGGGUGUCGCAGGGGGUACGGCCCCUGCCUCCUCACCUCUGCUCGUCACCGUGCGCGCAAGCUCCCGGCUUCACUGCGGCCACAGCUCGGCAAGGCCCCCACGAGACCCGCGAGGUCCUCGGGGGAGCCCACGUCCUCCCUGCCGAUGGUGAUGGUGACACACCUGGAGCACAGUGUGAUUCACCGGCUGGCGUCCACCGGGGGAAAAGAACUGGAAUCUGAAACCCACGGAUUCCUCACGGGUGGGACCGUCCCCACACAGUUCCCCCUGCCCCACAGCCAGGUGUGAUGGAAGCCACAGGACAGUGAAUGCAGUCAGAAGAAUCUGGGAGCCACUUCGCAAGCAUGUGACGUUGGGCAAGUGACUUCAUCUCUCCGACCGUUCCCUUUCUUCAGCUGAAAAUGCAGAUAACGGUGGCCGCCCAGGAGGGCUGAUGUGAACAGGAGACGGGACGGACCGGGGCCUGGCAGCGGCAGGGCAGUCAGGGAUGGACCGGUGCCUCACGCGUCCUUGUGUCCUCCACCGUGUCUGGCCCACCCCCGGCGGGUGCCCAGGAGCCUGCUCCGAAGGGUGGAGGGCCGCUGACUAGAGGGAGGUGGCAGCUGGGGCUGCAAGGAGGACUCCAGAAAAGAGUGAUAAAGGGAGAGCAUGCAAAACUCUGCCACCAUGCAAAACAGAAGCUUGCAAAUGCAAUUCCCAGGGAGCAGCCCAUGCAAACUGAGCCCCGCCAGUGGACACCCUCAGGCCUUCCCCAGCUCCCACCCCAGGGCCCCUUUCUCUGCCACGACGGUGGAGGUGGAGGUGGUGGUGGGAACAGCGGGGCUCCCGGGGGCAGCCCACAUUCACGGAGUUCCCGCUAAUGUCAAAGUGUCGGAUCACUUGCAGAUACCUGACCCGCGAGGGAGGCACCAUUAGGCCUGUUUAACGGAGAGUCCUUCAAGCUUCGCCUCAACCCGGGGAAGGGCGGGCGGGUCCACGGAACACACGCGGACGAACUCACCCGUGAGCAGCUCAGGUCACAGGAAGCCCGCUCCCCACCCGACGGAGCCCAGCCUCCCUCCCGAUCCCCUGGUCUCCGAGGGCGAGGGCGGAGGCCACCCCGAAGCAGCAGCACACAGGACGUGCUUCACAGGCCUUCAGGCGAGGCUGCUGACCCCCAAGGAUUCAGGCCAAGGCCAGUAUCCCCCAGGCCAGGCGCCACCUCCUCUCCUCCCUUGACUCCUCCAUACCCCAGGUCUCCAGACCAGGGACUCUCCUUCUCUCCACUCCAAGCACCUCCUACAGGAAGCCCUCCUGGACUGCUCCCUCCCAGGCUUCUCCUUGCCCUCCAAGCCUAGACUCUGACACCCUCAGCUCUGAGCUGCUCUCCCAGGCUGGGGGCAUGGGCUCAGGCGCCCCCAGAGGCCUAGGAUUCCCCCCACAAGAGUAAUCCUUGCAGAAACUGUGAAAUAAGCAUUAUUUCCAUUUGAGAGCUAAGGAAACAGCCUGGAGGUUAAGAAAAGCUUGUGCGUAUGGUAGCAAAUGGGAGAGGCCAAACCGGACCGCGCCGGCCUCUCAAGCCAAGUGUCUCCUCCAGCCUUACACCUCCCACCUCCUUCUCCAUCCAAGAUCCUAGCAGAUGCCCGGCACUCCCCACACCAUAGACUUUUUAUGACCCCUUUCGAACUUCACGAUUAAGCCUACGGGGAAAGUACAAACAGCCUCAUUUUACACCUGAGGAUAGGGGAGUUCAGACAGUCUCGAAAUAUUCCCUAAGGUCACAGCGCCCUGGAGUGUCAGGAUGGAAAUCGAACCCAACCUUUCUAGCUCUAAAAGCCAAAGUGAGGUUCCCCGGGCCCCUGGGUCCAGGCAGAGCCAGGCUGAGAGAGGCAGGAGACCCCGAUGCCGAUCCUCCAGGCGUCAGCCAGCGCCUCUGAUAAAGGAGGCCGCCUUCCAGAGGGGGAGGCCUGCGGGGUGGCCCCGCUGAUCUGGGGAGAUCCGGAAUCCCGGAGCAGCUGGGCACCGGCUGGCACCACCGACCUCCACCCUCGCGCCGUCCUCUGAGCCGACACGCCCUCAGGUCCUCUCUUUCCCUUCUGCACUUCCCCCCGCCACUGAGCACUCUGGGAUUUGUGAUUCAGUGAAAUGAGAUGGAGAUUAAUUUCCUUUUUUUUAAAAAAAAAUAUUUUAUUAAUUAUUCAUGAGAGGCACAGAGAGAGAGAGAGGCAGAGACACAGGCAGAGGGAGAAGCAGGCUCCAUGCAGGGAGCCCGACGCGGGACUCGAUCCCAGGUCUCCAGGAUCAUGCUCUGGGCUGAAGGCGGCGCUAAACCGCUGCGCCACGGGGACUGCCCGGAGAUUAAUUUCCAUUUUGAGAAUUGUGUUCAAGCGACUCCUAGACCCACGGAGACUAGUAGCUGGAAGACAGAAAUCUGGAAACCGAAUCGCAUGUGUUCCGAUCUCGGCUCAGUCUCCAAAUCGUUGUGUGUCACAGGACAAGUCACUCGCCCUCUCUGCGCUACCGUCCUGUCUGUACAGUCAAGGAGCCGUACCAUGUGUUUCUGGAACUCCUUUAAUUUCAUUUAAAUUCUUUGGUUGUGGGGCGUCUGGGCGGCUCAGCUGGUUAAGGAUCUGACUCUUGAUUUCGGCUCAGUCAUGACCUCAGGGUCCUGGGACCAAGCCCUGCGUCGGGCUCCACGAACUUCGAAUUUCCCAAAGUUAUGGCAGCGCAGCGAAGACGGCAUCAGACUUGAACUCAUACUUGAUUUGGGCUCUCGGCUUUUGUUCUCUCGUAUGUCAAAUAAAUCAUGUGAGGCCUGUA